GCCCGCCUAGCGACCGCCUAGGCCGACUUUUCAGUUCUCGCUUUCCAGCAUCCAAACGCAUUCUCUCUCUCCCCUUGUCGUCAAGGUUUUUCUGUGUUGAAAUGAGACUGAACAUAGUGGAACAAAAACAAAUUUCAUGUGAAAAAUGCGGUCCAAGUGUUUGGAAUUGCAGCAAGAUUUCUUUUUGAAAGCUUAAAUGUCGGGAAGCAAAGUGUUGUUAACGUAUAAGCGAAAGCGGCAAUCAAGAACAGAUCCUGUACAGGGACAUGAGUGCCGUAAUUCACUUUUUGUUGCUCCCGAUGAUACUUCUUUAAGCAAACCACCAGACUUGCAAGUUCAUUUGAUUGAUAGGCGUUCAUCAGAACGUUACAACUAAAUUCUGUGUUAUGGUCUAGAAGAAUGUUAGAAGACUUGAAGAUGGGGGAUUGAAGCUGCAGAGUGCAUAUAUGAUAUUGCUCCGGCAACUUCACAGGCGAUCCUGAAGCGAUGUUCCCACGAAAGUGAUGGUGUUUCAAUGUGCUUCUGCUGGUUACAGUAUCGCCGUGGGGCUAUACUGUAUAAAUAGAAAUUUUAAAGUAUCGCCGCGCGUCUAUACUCUAGAAACUAUAUUGUAUAAAUAGAAAUUUAGAGUAUAGCCGCCCGGCUAUACGAUAUAAAUAGAAAAUUUUCAAGUAGAGCCUCGCGGCUAUACCCCAUAAAUAGAAAUUAUAAGAGUAUAGCCACUAUACUCCCUAAAUACAAUAUAUUA